GGGUGCAGCCAGUUGCUCCGGCGUCAGGUUCCCAAACUCUUCCGCAAGCACGUCCAUGCUGUGCUGGUCACGAAGAAGGGAGAAGCCAGCAGAGCCGCCACGCCCGCUUUCGGCUGCCCCAAGCAAACCGCAGCGCCCGGCAUUGGAAUAACCACUUCGUGUGCAUUCUCUGAUUUAAUGAUCAACCGCAGGGAGGUAAGUAUGAUUAUCUCCACUUGACAGGUGAAGAGACUAAGGUUCACAGGGAUUAAGAAAUUCGCCAAGCAGAGCUAGAAUUUAAAUCCAUAAUUAUCUGACAUGCUUUCAAUUGCCCUAUCAUAAUAGCACCCUGGAUGGAUGGAGUGGCAGAAGAUAUUUCAAGCAGAGGAAAACAGCAUGACCAAUGGCUUGAGGACUUUACAUAGGACCACAUUCUGGCAAUUGAGUGUGAUCUCCAUAGGGCUUGUCUAUAAGGAAGUGUCUGUAGGUGACACUAGAAAGAUCCAUUGGGACUGGGCCAUUGUUAGCCCUUAUGCCAUGUUAAAGAAAUAAGACCUUAUUCUGAGAGGCUUCAACAUGAAGACACUGUAAACAAAAAAGGAUUAUCCUGUCUUCAAAACCUUGAUGCAUCCAGACUGGGAGAAAACAUGUGUGAUCCUGGUUUCCAAACUUGAGUAAAUUCACAAUAGAACUAGAAAAGGCUAGAACAAUGUUGGAGAAAGAAUAUGGGCUCUUCAGUCUGAAAAGGCAAGGGCAAAGAGGGCUUCUGUGAAGCCCAUCAUUUCAUAAACAGCAAGGUGAGGGUGAACACGGGCUGAAACCUCUACUGUAAUCAGAAAAAACAGCUUACGUUUUGAGCAAGGGUGGAUGGUCUGAAGCCUUUUGCUGCCUGACAUGCCCACAAAGCCCUUCUCUGAAACAGCCUUGCAUUGUGUCAUGGGACCCAACCAUGCUGUAAGAAUUGAUUGGGUCAGGAACCUGCCAAAGACAGCCAUGUAGGGGAGCUGACGUGGCCCCUACCCAGUGCAGGAGAGUAGGGAAGAGGAGUGUCUGUACUGACUAAUGGCAAUUAGACCCAAUCACUUCUCUCCUGGGACGUUAUUAAUUAAGAGGUACCAAAAGGGAGGGCGGCCGCAUAAAGAAGUAGUGAAGUAAAACACCAAGGAAGCAUUUGGUAGCAUCACAACAGUGAGAAAUACUUUUGAUCAGAUGACCUAGAGAAACCAAUAUAGCAAAAGGUUUUAGCACACACAUUCCAGGGUUAGACUCUGGUGGGUUUAAAGACACCCACCAGCUCUGUAACCUUGGACAACUUCUGUAGCUAAUCUGAGCUUCAUUUGCAUCUAUAGAAAUAAAGAUAAAGCCUGCCCUACAGGGUGUUGUGCAGUUAUAGGAGAUCAUGUGUAUGAAGCGCUUAGGGUAUUCCUUGCCAUAUGGUAAGUGCUCAGUGGCUAUUAUUUUACUUGAAAGAAAAAAGAAUGAAGGGCACCUGGGUGGUUCAGUCAUUUGAGUGUCCAACUCUUGAUUUCAGCUCAGGUCAUGAUCUCAGGGUCAUGGGAUUCUCCCUCUUUCUCUCUCUCUCUCUCUUCCCACCCACACUCUGUAAAUAAUAAAAAAUAAAGAAUUAUAUUCAGAUCCUCCAUCAAGCCUGCAAGUGCAGCUGGUGAGACAGA